GACAGAGGGUGCAAACGUUGUUCGGAAUUACUGGGCGUAAAGCGCGUGUAGGCGGCCAUCUAAGUCGGGCGUGAAAUCCCACGGCUCAACCGUGGAAGUGCACUCGAAACUGGAUGGCUAGAGUAUCGGAGAGGUUGGUGGAAUUCUCGGUGUAGAGGUGAAAUUCGUAGAUAUCGAGAGGAACACCGGUGGCGAAGGCGGCCAACUGGACGAAUACUGACGCUGAGACUCGAAAGCGUGGGGAGCAAACAGG
rnacentral:rRNA from 1 species